CAGGUACACACAUGUGGAGAGAGGACAACCUCAGUCGUUGUUCUUCAGGAGCUGUUCACCCUGUUUUCUGAGACAUGGUCGCUCACAGGCCUGGAGCUGGCCAAGAAGGUGAGGCUAUCUAGCAGUCUCUCACUUCACAGCCUAAUGGAGUGGACAGCACUAGAUCAAUUUACAGAGAUCAGUCCUAAGUAGGUGCUUAAUAGGUCUAAGCUGAGGAAAAGAAUAAGAGGCACUGGAGUUUCCUGCUCAAGAGUAAGCCGAUUGCUUGUUCCUUGCCCAUAUCCUUUAGCAUGCUGAACAACCCAGACAGAUGGAGCCAGAGAAGUGGCUCAAUGGUUAAGAGUCUUUGUUGCUCGUACAGAGGACCCAGGUUCAGCUUCUAGGACCCACAUGAUAGCUUACAGCCAUCUAUCAAUCUCAAGGGAUCUGAGAUCCUCUCCUGACCCCUGUGAGCACCAGGCAAGUAUACAGUGCACAUGUAUACAUGCAAGUUAAACAUUCACACACAAAAUAAAAUAAAUAAUAAAU